GUCGACUUAGCCAAGUGGUUCAAGGCGUUGGUCUUGAAAAUCGGGCCGCCCGAUUCAUUAACCAAUGGGCUCCGCCCGCGUAGGUUCGAAUCCUGCAGUCGACG
rnacentral:tRNA from 2 species